rnacentral:lncRNA from 1 species
UUUGAGCCACUGCAUCCCCUAGCGGCGCCCGGGUGGCUGCAGCCGCUGGCCCGAAAAUGCUGCUCGGGCGAGCAGGGGUCAGGCGGGAAAAGAAGACUCCAAAUCCACUCUCUGCUCGCCCCCAGGGCAAUGCUGCGAGGAGAGGGAGUGGGUUCCCCCGCAGGCUAUCCCACCGAUGGGGCUGAGAGCUUAAUUUGGGGUUUUAUUUGAAUUGGAGACAUUGUUCCCUCUUCGCUCCUCUACCCCAUAAAAUUCCCUACAAAUGCAAAAAUUCGAGAUAGAAGAAGCCGUCCCUGAAAGUAAGUUCUGAAGGAUUCCUUUCAUGCGGUGAAAGAACAACAACAAUAUUCAACUUCACCUUGGUGUGUGAGGGUUGUCAUGUUUUAAAACACUAUCCCUGUAGAAAGAUUAGUGAAAUGUAUUGGAAGAAGUAGUGGAAACGUGAAUCUUCCUAAUCUUGCGUUUGGAUCUUCUUUGGAGUCCUCACCUUCUUAAAUCAGAUGUUUGUUUGAAAUCAGGGCUGAAUUUCCAUAUAUAGGACAGAAAGAAAGAACCCCAAUUUUUUUAAAGAAAGCUUCCCCCCCCCCCCACGUUUCUCUUGAGCCCACUUGGUCUCCUGUUAUUAGGCGGCCCAGUUAAGAGGCAUCGAUUUUCCUUUCGUUCUCUGACCACUCGUCUCUCCUGGGCCAGCCAAGCUGCCCGCAUCUUCUCCUGCUCACAGCGCUCCCUAAACCUUUUAAUUAUUUAGUUGCUGUCUAACAUUCACCGGAAACCUCUCCAUAAACAAGGAGAAACGAACGCACACGCAUUUUUGCUAAGAAGCCCGGGAUUAAGAUUAAGGAUAGAAGCUGAAAGAAAAAUUGAAAAAUGCUUCUCCGCGCGUCAAUCGAGGGGUGGAUGCGCCAAGCAGCGUGAGCCCAGCUCACAGCCACGCGUAAGACCAAGAGCUGCCCUGGGUCCUGCGCGCGGAGACCUCAGAGCCGAAGAGAGAAGUCCCCGCGACAGAAACGCUGCGGAUGCCAGGUCUUGAAAAUGCUAACUUCUGAGGCUAAGAAUUAUUUCAGAGACAAAAAGAAAAGACUGGAGCAGCCGGCGGGGCUCGGGUGGAGGAAAGCGAGGAGGCGACCAGGAGGAUGCCGCCGCCGCCGCCUCCGCCGCCGCCGCAGGGCCCGGGGCUUCUGUAGGGCACAAGGCCUCCCUCACCAGGGUAAGGGGCUGGCGAUCAACCUGGACGCCUGGGACCCUGGGAACAAGCAUCCCGCAGCCGAGCAGACGACGGCGCGGCCACCGCCUGGAGAGGAGCCGGGGCCCGGGGCGGCGUGCGGGCCGGCGGCAGCCGGCUUGGCCUAUCCGAAACCCCAGGCCUGGAAGCGGCUGCUUUAGGCGUCAAGUUGAGCGGGGUAUGUGUGUCCUCUUGGGGAAAAGGUGAGAAAUGGAGCCGGACUUUCUCCGCUCGGUAGGGGUUAAGCUGGAACCUACACACACCCCCAAACACAUGUCCACGUGCAAGUCCCUCCCACCUGCCCUCCCAGGGGCGAAGAGACCCUGUCCCAGUGGAAGUGGGGAAACCCAGUUGGGUACAGAAAGCAGAGGCCAUGGCGCAGAGAGGAGGCGCGGUUUUCUGGGGCUCAGCCCUAGGGCUACAGACCCAGGGCGCGGAGAUGCUCGCGGCCGGCGCCACCCACCCGAGCCAGGCAACCCGUGCUUCCAGGCGAGCUCCGCGGGGCCGAGGUGCCGGGAGAAGCGGCCCCGGGCGCCCGCGCGCUGCCCGACCUGGGUAACAGGCAAAGCGGAGCCCCGGGGUCGAAGUCCUAAAGUUACUAAUCCCGCGGAGGGGGAGAGAGCGUGCCUCGGGACGCCCGGGGCGGUCAUUUGAGAGUGUUUACUUAAAGACUUUGCAAGCAGAGCGCGCGCGAAAUCGUCAGAUUUCCAGCGAGGCAGCAAAUAUUUGCAGGCAGGAGAAAGAAGCGGAGCCGAGCCGAGCCGCCGAGUCCCUCCCCUCGGAGCCCCGGCGCCGGCCUGGGCGGUCCCGGCCGCGCAGUUAAAGACAGAAAAGAAGCCGGGAAUCUGCGGGGCUCGGGGGGCGGGGAGCGACACCAAAGGCCAGAAACUGCAGCACGGCCCGAGGCCCUGGCGAGCCGGGCCUGGGGGAGGAGAAGUCCCUUCCCAUUCCAGCUCGAUCAAUCUUGCUGGGCUGCGAUCGGUCAAUAAAAACGGUGUGAAGCGGC